ACUCUGUUGUGUUACAACAACUGGUCUUAAAUGAAUGAGUGCACCCUGCUGUUGCAGCGUCUUCAGUGUGAUAAACAUUUUCACUGGAACAAAGUCCUUUGGGACACGCAGGCAUUGCAGGCUCUGUGCUGGCAAACUGUCUUUGGACAAUCUUUUGACAAUUUGACCUCAAAUCGGGUGGGACUACCCGCUGAACUUAA
rnacentral:misc_RNA from 1 species